UCCUCCAGGAUCUAAAGGAGAGUCUGGUUUACCUGGUAUUGAUGGACGGGAUGGUAUUCCUGGAAUGCCUGGAUCAAAGGGUGUAGCUGGCAAGCCGGGUGUUCAAGGUGAAGCAGGACCUCGAGGUCUGCCUGGUUUGCCCGGAUCCCCAGGACUUCCAGGUGUAAUUGGAGCAAAG